GUAGGCCGAGUCGUUCUGCAGGGUCGACGUGUCUGUGGAAGUUAAAGGACAGCUGUUUUCUUUCGGAUCUGAGCUGAAAGACCAGGGACCUGCUAGCUGCCGACAUGCCCUGAAGCACCCGUCUGCUUCUCGUCAAAAUUAACACUGAAUUCACAGAGCAGCUUUCAGGCUGACAAGGAUGGAAAACAAAAACUUCAUUUGAUCAGACCAAGUUCAAGGAGAACGGAGAUGGUGGAUUUCACCUGCGGCUGCCUCCUUCUGGAUAACAGAGUGUGCCUGGACUUUCCCAUGGCUGAAAGGCUCUCUCUGAAGUGACUCAAACGCCCUGACAGUAGAACAUAGACCGUGAUGCACCCACACAGGGCAGAGUUAUGUAGCAGGAAGAACAUGUGAUCCAAAAAUAUGUUCAACAACGGGGUUGGGUCUCCCAAAAAGACACCGAGUGAAAGCAGCCAGACCCCAAAGUGCACGUCUGCCUGUAAAGCACAAAGACAGGGAAGCCGUGUAGCUGGACCUAGCCUAGGACUGGGCACGCAGAGGGUGCUCAGCAAACCAUUUCCUAAUAGAUACAUUGACCUAGAGUCAUUACUGGACAUGUAUCACUAUAAUAUACUCUUGGCUAAUGUGUAUUUCAUGAAUGGUUUUUCAUCUGAUAUGCUUUUGGGGUUCUUCUAAAAACUUAGUGUUUGUGCUGCCCUUACAAUCAAAACAUCAAUCUUCGAUUGAAAUAUUCCCUCCCCCCUUUUUUUAAAUGAAGACUGUAUUCUCUAACCCUUCAGGUUUUUUCUUUCUGUCAUGCCCUGUCCCCCACCGUAAACAUUCAACCAGUGAUUUAAAACUGUUUAUUUUUUUCAU